rnacentral:rRNA from 1 species
CCUACGGGGGGCAGCAGUGGGGAAUAUUGCACAAUGGGGGAAACCCUGAUGCAGCGACGCCGCGUGAGUGAAGAAGUAUUUCGGUAUGUAAAGCUCUAUCAGCAGGGAAGAAACCCACCCUCCGGGGUGGCUUACGGUACCUGACUAAGAAGCCCCGGCUAACUACGUGCCAGCAGCCGCGGUAAUACGUAGGGGGCAAGCGUUAUCCGGAUUUACUGGGUGUAAAGGGAGCGUAGGUGGCAAGGCAAGUCAGAUGUGAAACCCCGGGGCCCAACCCCGGGAGUGCAUUUGAAACUGUCUGGCUAGAGUGCAGGAGAGGUGAGUGGAAUUCCUAGUGUAGCGGUGAAAUGCAUAGAUAUUAGGAGGAACACCAGUGGCGAAGGCGGCUUACUGGACUGUAACUGACACUGAGGCUCGAAAGCGUGGGGAGCAAACAGGAUUAGAUACCCGUGUAGUC